CAAGCCAGCCAUGCUUCACUGAGCUCCCUUCCACUUUUGUGGUCAUGUUUCCUCUUUAUGGUUAAGUGAACCUCAAAACAAUGACAAAGAAAUAUGCACUGAGUCACAUAUUCUAAGAAAUAGACUGUACUCUCCUCAAAUCGAAAUAACAGCACUUUAAUUCUUGGAUUUUUCCACAUUUUUCUUGGUUAAAGCUGCUAUUUGCUUUCUUUGAAUCUGUAUCAGUUCAUGCAGUUCUGCCAAGGGGGGAAGUUUCACAGGACACUGCUACUUUAGCACGUGAAAUAUUAAGAUGAACAGAAUACGUACAAAGGUGGGGAACCUGGGAAGAUUGAAUGUCCUCUGGAGUCCACGGGGGUUUCCAGGGGGAGAAGCAAAACAAAACGGAGCAUAGCGGCACAGUGGGACAGACUUUCCCAAGAUCCCCAGCUGGAUACCCCAAGAGAUCCAGCAGAAGAAAAACCAAAGCUGUAUAUGAGAUAAUUCUACAACACAGGGCAUCCAGUUUACCUAUGGAGAAAAUGAAGCUAAGGGUGAACUCAUGAUUUAAAGAUACAAACCUGAAAUAACAGCUGCAAAUAAAACCACAGAACAAAAGCA
rnacentral:lncRNA from 1 species